rnacentral:rRNA from 1 species
AUUGAACGCUGGCGGCAGGCCUAACACAUGCAAGUCGAGCGGAUGAAGGGAGCUUGCUCCUGGAUUCAGCGGCGGACGGGUGAGUAAUGCCUAGGAAUCUGCCUGGUAGUGGGGGAUAACGUCCGGAAACGGGCGCUAAUACCGCAUACGACCUGAGGGAGAAAGUGGGGGAUCUUCGGACCUCAUGCUAUCAGAUGAGCCUAGGUCGGAUUAGCUAGUUGGUGGGGUAAAGGCCUACCAAGGCGACGAUCCGUAACUGGUCUGAGAGGAUGAUCAGUCACACUGGAACUGGGACACGGUCCAGACUCCUACGGGAGGCAGCAGUGGGGAAUAUUGGACAAUGGGCGAAAGCCUGAUCCAGCCAUGCCGCGUGUGUGAAGAAGGUCUUCGGAUUGUAAAGCACUUUAAGUUGGGAGGAAGGGCAGUAAGUUAAUACCUUGCUGUUUUGACGUUACCAACAGAAUAAGCACCGGCUAACUUCGUG